GGGUUGUGAGGUUAAGCGACUAAGCGUACACGGUGGAUGCCCUGGCAGUCAGAGGCGAUGAAGGACGUGCUAAUCUGCGAAAAGCGUCGGUAAGGUGAUAUGAACCGUUACAGCCGGCGAUGUCCGAAUGGGGAAACCCAGUGUGAUUCGUCACACUAUCGUUAACUGAAUACAUAGGUUAACGAGGCGAACCGGGGGAACUGAAACAUCUAAGUACCCCGAGGAAAAGAAAUCAACCGAGAUUCCCCCAGUAGCGGCGAGCGAACGGGGAGCAGCCCAGAGUCUGAAUCAGCUUGUGUGUUAGUGGAACGGUCUGGAAAGUCCGACGGUACAGGGUGAUAGUCCCGUACACCAAAAUGCACAGGCUGUGAACUCGAAGAGUAGGGCGGGACACGUGGUAUCCUGUCUGAAUAUGGGGGGACCAUCCUCCAAGGCUAAAUACUCCUGACUGACCGAUAGUGAACCAGUACCGUGAGGGAAAGGCGAAAAGAACCCCGGCGAGGGGAGUGAAAAAGAACCUGAAACCGUGUACGUACAAGCAGUGGGAGCACCUUUAUGGUGUGACUGCGUACCUUUUGUAUAAUGGGUCAGCGACUUAUAUUCUGUAGCAAGGUUAACCGUAUAGGGGAGCCGCAGGGAAACCGAGUCUUAACUGGGCGUUAAGUUGCAGGGUAUAGACCCGAAACCCGGUGAUCUAGCCAUGGGCAGGUUGAAGGUUGGGUAACACUAACUGGAGGACCGAACCGACUAAUGUUGAAAAAUUAGCGGAUGACUUGUGGCUGGGGGUGAAAGGCCAAUCAAACCGGGAGAUAGCUGGUUCUCCCCGAAAGCUAUUUAGGUAGCGCCUCGUGAAUUCAUCUUCGGGGGUAGAGCACUGUUUCGGCUAGGGGGUCAUCCCGACUUACCAACCCGAUGCAAACUACGAAUACCGAAGAAUGUUAUCACGGGAGACACACGGCGGGUGCUAACGUCCGUCGUGAAGAGGGAAACAACCCAGACCGCCAGCUAAGGUCCCAAAGUCACAGUUAAGUGGGAAACGAUGUGGGAAGGCACAGACAGCCAGGAUGUUGGCUUAGAAGCAGCCAUCAUUUAAAGAAAGCGUAAUAGCUCACUGGUCGAGUCGGCCUGCGCGGAAGAUGUAACGGGGCUAAACUGUGCACCGAAGCUGCGGCAGCGACACUUAGGUGUUGUUGGGUAGGGGAGCGUUCUGUAAGCCUGCGAAGGUGGCCUGUGAGGGUUGCUGGAGGUAUCAGAAGUGCGAAUGCUGACAUAAGUAACGAUAAUGCGGGUGAAAAGCCCGCACGCCGGAAGACCAAGGGUUCCUGUCCAACGUUAAUCGGGGCAGGGUGAGUCGACCCCUAAGGCGAGGCCGAAAGGCGUAGUCGAUGGGAAACAGGUUAAUAUUCCUGUACUUGGUGUUACUGCGAAGGGGGGACGGAGAAGGCUAUGUUAGCCGGGCGACGGUUGUCCCGGUUUAAGCAUGUAGGCGGAGGUUCCAGGUAAAUCCGGUACCUUUUAACGCUGAGGUGUGAUGACGAGGCACUACGGUGCUGAAGUAACAAAUGCCCUGCUUCCAGGAAAAGCCUCUAAGCAUCAGGUAACAUUGAAUCGUACCCCAAACCGACACAGGUGGUCAGGUAGAGAAUACCAAGGCGCUUGAGAGAACUCGGGUGAAGGAACUAGGCAAAAUGGUGCCGUAACUUCGGGAGAAGGCACGCUGAUAUGUAGGUGAAGCCCCUGCGGGUGGAGCUGAAAUCAGUCGAAGAUACCAGCUGGCUGCAACUGUUUAUUAAAAACACAGCACUGUGCAAACACGAAAGUGGACGUAUACGGUGUGACGCCUGCCCGGUGCCGGAAGGUUAAUUGAUGGGGUUAUCCGUAAGGAGAAGCUCUUGAUCGAAGCCCCGGUAAACGGCGGCCGUAACUAUAACGGUCCUAAGGUAGCGAAAUUCCUUGUCGGGUAAGUUCCGACCUGCACGAAUGGCGUAAUGAUGGCCAGGCUGUCUCCACCCGAGACUCAGUGAAAUUGAACUCGCUGUGAAGAUGCAGUGUACCCGCGGCAAGACGGAAAGACCCCGUGAACCUUUACUAUAGCUUGACACUGAACAUUGAGCCUUGAUGUGUAGGAUAGGUGGGAGGCUUUGAAGCGUGGACGCCAGUCUGCGUGGAGCCAACCUUGAAAUACCACCCUUUAAUGUUUGAUGUUCUAACGUUGGCCCCUGACCGGGGUUGCGGACAGUGUCUGGUGGGUAGUUUGACUGGGGCGGUCUCCUCCCAAAGAGUAACGGAGGAGCACGAAGGUUAGCUAAUCCUGGUCGGACAUCAGGAGGUUAGUGCAAUGGCAUAAGCUAGCUUGACUGCGAGCGUGACGGCGCGAGCAGGUGCGAAAGCAGGUCAUAGUGAUCCGGUGGUUCUGAAUGGAAGGGCCAUCGCUCAACGGAUAAAAGGUACUCCGGGGAUAACAGGCUGAUACCGCCCAAGAGUUCAUAUCGACGGCGGUGUUUGGCACCUCGAUGUCGGCUCAUCACAUCCUGGGGCUGAAGUAGGUCCCAAGGGUAUGGCUGUUCGCCAUUUAAAGUGGUACGCGAGCUGGGUUUAGAACGUCGUGAGACAGUUCGGUCCCUAUCUGCCGUGGGCGCUGGAGAAUUGAGGGGGGCUGCUCCUAGUACGAGAGGACCGGAGUGGACGCAUCACUGGUGUUCGGGUUGUCAUGCCAAUGGCAUUGCCCGGUAGCUAAAUGCGGAAGAGAUAAGUGCUGAAAGCAUCUAAGCACGAAACUUGCCCCGAGAUGAGUUCUCCCUGAGACUUUAAGUCUCCUGAAGGAACGUUAAAGACGAUGACGUUGAUAGGUCGGGUGUGUAAGCGUAGCGAUACGUUGAGCUAACCGAUACUAAUGAACCGUGAGGCUUAACCUUACAACGCCGAAG
rnacentral:rRNA from 1 species